rnacentral:lncRNA from 1 species
UUCAGAGACCGGAGUUGUAAGGUUGUCAUUAUAGCACCAGUGAUCGUCGCUGGGACUUGAGCUAGCGCCUCUUCAAUUUCCUCCGGAUUCGAUGAUUCAAAAAUCUGCCUAAUGUAACUAGUAGCAAUGGCUACUAAUCAUUCUUCAUCCUCAACAAUAUUUCCAUUCUCAUCUAAGAGCUGUGUGAUCUUAUUUCUUGCUCUUCUUUGCUUCGUCAAGGCAUGAACUUUUUUUGUAUUUCUGUCUCCUUCUCUCAACCAAAACACCCGAC